rnacentral:lncRNA from 1 species
CUCGAAUCUGGUCUAUGUAAGGAAAGCUGUUUAGCAGGUAUACCAUUGAACUUCUCAAUGACAUAAUCAUUAGGCCCUCCCUGAAACAUCUCUUGUAACCUGGAAAGCCCUAGCUUCUGUGAUGUCACAAGUAUUGUUGUGACUGAAACUCCCUAUCAGAUAUCACUUCAGUACCUCUAGUGUUUACUAAUUGAAUUCUAAUUCAGAGUAAACAGCCAUUUUGGAGUGAAAGCAAAGAGGAUGAAGAGAUCAGAGAUGGGGAGAAGGAUGCUGGCCUUCUUUCUUGAUAUAAAAAAAGGAAGAAAUACAUGGUCCUUGGGAAAGCUCACAAAACUCUCAAAUAUCAUCCUGGGUGACGAUGUAGAUUAGACCCAUCAGAUGAAAUGAAGAAUUGAAAAACUCUCCUGGGGAUGAAAAUGGUAAGGAAAUCACAUUGAUGUAUCAUAAAUGCAGUGCCAAGAGCAAUAUUAAUACUAGUCUGGGGAGAUGCUGCCUUUAUCAGAGACCACAGACCUUUAGUUUAGAAUGAUUCAGUACUAAACUGGGAAUGGAAAAUGAUGGUUGAUAUGGUUCUAACAGAUCUCAUAACAUUAAAAAGGGUCUCUUCCAGAUCAGAGAAUGAUUAUUGUAAAGCAACUUCCAGAAUAAACUUAUGAGACCCACCAUCAGCCUGUGAAAUAAUGUGCGAAAGAAGAAAUUAGUGUCUCUUCAGGGACAAACUGUUGCUUUCAAACAAACAGUAAAGUGUCCAUUCUAUGAAUGAUACAUAGAUAUAUACACAUUAUAGCAGGAUGAAUACAGAGUUUCUUCAGGUCCAUGAAAGAGGUAUUCAGCAGUUGACCUGGCUCAGCAAUAAAGUUAUUUUUUGCCAACUCAUGAGACCUGAGCUCCUUCACUAGGAGAUCCAUGAUUGAAGGAAAGAACAAACUUCAGACAACUUGUCUCAGAUUUCUAUGUAGUUCAGAUUUCCUGGUCUUGGUCCUCAGAAGGAAGGACAUCUUGUUUUUCAAUUCUUGUUCAUCCUAUAAUCCUUCUCUCUGAUGCACUAAUGCAAAUAAAUUAGGGUGCAUUUCAUUGAUAGAUUACAAUUGAUAUUUUAAUUCUGUUGCCAAGAACUAUAGAAAAUAAGAAGGGCUGUAUCAAAGCAUCCUUUGAAAGUCAGACUACGGGAAUGUGUCCAUUGGAAAUUUGUAACUUAGCUGAAACUCUUACUAGAGACAAACUGCCAUAAAAGGUCUUCUCUAGAUACCUGGUGUAGUAGUUGGUGUUCCCAACAGAUAGUAAAGGAUGAAUCUCUCUGUAUAGAGGAAUCUGAUUGUUCAAAAUGAUCACAGACUACGGACCACAUAAUUUAACAAUGGCUGACUAUUUGUAAACUCCUAGAAUCCAUUAGAUUAUUAGUCCAAAAGGCUUGGUGUCUCAUCUGGUCAUAAGUAUAUGGAUAAAUUUUCAGUAUGCAGGUUCUAAUGUAUGUGAGGGUUUGGUAGCAUUGUGAGUGCAAACAUGAAAAAGUAAAAGCUUCAUUCUUCCAUGUUUUCUAUGGGGAUUCAAAUAAAAGGCAUAGUUAAGAAUAGACUGGGAUUGCAAUUCUCAAACAGACCAGUAUCUUCAACUGAACAUUCAUUUCUGGGAAGCUGCACGCUGUCAGAAUGGCUCAGGUGUAUGUGAACUGCAAGAUCUAGUCUGGGAAGGCAUUCCUGUUCAUCAAUCACACCUGCCCCUACUACAGAAACACCCAAGACUUCCUCAAUCAACUUUUUUGGACACAUGGUCUUCUGGGAUUCGAAGAGAUUAGAUCUACUAACAACAACAAUGCGAUUCAAGAUUACUUACAACAGGUCACUGGAGUGAGAAUAGUUCCUUGGAUCUUUAAAGGUAGAGAAAGACUGCAUAGGUAGUCACAGUGAUCUAAUCUCCCUGCAACAGAAAGAGAAUAUAAUGAUGUUGCUGAAGCAGUUUGGAGCUAUGCAGUUAUAAAAGGGAUGGCUGUAAAAGCCCAUGCUGACAGCAGACAUUCAACCAUGCUGAGAGUUGAAGUGCGUCACAGAUGACUUCAGUAUUUUCAUAGGACAGGGAUUUAGAACAAAUUGGCUUUUAUUCUAUUCCUCAGUGCAAAAAAUCUGUUGCUGUUUGCCUCAAACCAUGGGGUAGGGAAACUUAAGAGGCAACAGAGGUUUGAUUUUCCAGUCUUCAUGUUCUGACAUGUCUCUACUUCUAAGUCCAUGUUUCACAAGCCAGAUCAUUUAAAUCUCCAGGGAAUCAGUUACUGUUUGCCUACCAUGCUGGUCUUCUGAAGUCAUUUUACAGAAGUCCACUUCCUAGUAAUUAUUAAAGCAAUGAAUAUUAUGAAGUUGUUUAUGAUCUACACACAGGCCUUUCAUGCCCCAAGCAUGUACCAUCCCACAUCUGCCUUGGCAACUCUCAGCCAGUGUUUUAACCUAUUCAUACAAUAACCCACAGAAGUCCACACUUGUAUGAGGAUGUUGUUUGAAAAACAGAUGAAUAGCUUUAGCAUGGUUGUUCUUCACUGUAGCCAUAUUAACACAGACGACAGAGUAUAUGAUGCAUUCAGCUCUGUUUGUCGUGUUUAAUUGCCCAUAAAGUCCCAAACAGCUCUGAGCUGAUUGUGUCAGAGUACGAGCAAAGUCAAAUAUAAAAUGCAAAAUUUCAGAACUCUCCUUCCAAGGCUGUUUGUGAAAGAAGUUGUUCGCAAAACACUGUCCUAAUAAAUUUAUUCCAUUCUCACUUUGAUAUUUUGAUUUGAUGUCUUGAAAUGACAUUUAAUUAUCAUUGAAAUGCAGGUUCUCUCUAUGGUCUCUAGUGAGAAGGAUUCAUUUUUCAAAGGGAUGUAUCUGCAGAUGCCUGAAAAAAUAAAUAUAAAGAAUAGAUCUUGAUAAAAUUCUAGGGUAAAGAUGCAACAUCCUACUCCAAAGAUCCAUAUAAGAAGCACAUUUGACAUUGACCUUAUAUUAUUAAGAAAUUCUUCAC